GAACACUGCGAUUACCUUAGUAACGGCGAGUGAAGCGGUAAAAGCUCAAAUUUGAAAUCUGGUACUUUCAGUGCCCGAGUUGUAAUUUGUAGAAUUUGUCUUUGAUUAGGUCCUUGUCUAUGUUCCUUGGAACAGGACGUCAUAGAGGGUGAGAAUCCCGUUUGGCGAGGAUACCUUUUCUCUGUAAGACUUUUUCGAAGAGUCGAGUUGUUUGGGAAUGCAGCUCAAAGUGGGUGGUAAAUUCCAUCUAAAGCUAAAUAUUGGCGAGAGACCGAUAGCGAACAAGUACAGUGAUGGAAAGAUGAAAAGAACUUUGAAAAGAGAGUGAAAAAGUACGUGAAAUUGUUGAAAGGGAAGGGCAUUUGAUCAGACAUGGUGUUUUUUGCAUGCACUCGCCUCUCGUGGGCUUGGGCCUCUCAAAAAUUUCACUGGGCCAACAUCAAUUCUGGCAGCAGGAUAAAUCAUUAAGAAUGUAGCUACUUCGGUAGUGUUAUAGCUUUUUGGGAAAAA
rnacentral:rRNA from 1 species